CUCUACGGCCAUACCACCCUGAACAUGCCCAAUCUCGUCUGAUCUUGGAAGCUAAGCAGGGUUGAGCCUGGUUACUACUUGCAUGGGAGAAGAUAAACAUAUGUGCUUAAAUA
ensembl:rRNA 5S_rRNA 5S ribosomal RNA